GACGAACGCUGGCGGCGUGCUUAACACAUGCAAGUCGAACGGAAAGGCCUCUUUCGGGGGGUACUCGAGUGGCGAACGGGUGAGUAACACGUGAGUAACCUGCCCUUGACUUUGGGAUAACUUCAGUAAACUGGGGCUAUUACCUGAUAGGAGCUCCUGCUUCAUGGUGGGGGUUCGAAAGUUUCGGCGGUUGGGGAUGGACUCGCGGCUUAUCAGCUUGUUGGUGGGGUAGUGGCUUACCAAGGCUUUGACGGGUAGCCGGCCUGAGAGGGUGACCGGCGACAUUGGGACUGAGAUACGGCCCAGACGCCGACGGGAGGCAGCAGGGGGGAAUAUUGCACAAUGGGUGGAAGCCUGAUGCAGCAACGCCGUGGGCGGGAGGACGGCCUUCGGGUUGUAAAACGCUUUCGCUCAUGACGAAGCUUUGUGUGACGGUAGUGGGUAAAGAAGCACCGGCUAACUACGUG
rnacentral:rRNA from 1 species